UUACCGGUUCUCGUUAGAUCACCGAAGUUAAGCAUCAUUGGGCGCGGUUUCAAUACUUGGGUGGGUGACCAUCUGGGAACACUGCAU